GAUGAAGAACGCAGCGAAAUGCGGUAAGUAAUGCGAAUUGCAGAAUUCAGUGAGUCAUCGAAUCUUUGAACGCACAUUGCGCCCUGUGGUAUUCCGCAGGGCAUGCCUGUUCGAGCGUCAUUUCAACCCUCAAGCUCUGCUUGGUGUUGGGCCCUGCCCGCUGCGGCCGGCCCUAAAGACAGUGGCGGUGCCGCCUGGCCCUGAGCGUAGUACAUCUCUCGCUCCAGUGCCCGGUGGUAGCCUGCCAGAACCCCAACUCUCGUGGUUGACCUCGGAUCAGGUAGGGAUACCCGCUGAACUUAAGCAUAUCAAUAAGCGGAGGA
rnacentral:misc_RNA from 1 species